rnacentral:rRNA from 1 species
AUUGAACGCUGGCGGCAGGCCUAACACAUGCAAGUCGAACGAGUGGCGGACGGGUGAGUAAUGUCUGGGAAACUGCCCGCUGGCGGGGGAUAACUACUGUAACCGGUAGCUAAUACCGCAUACCAUCGGAUGUGCCCAGAUGGGAUUAGCUAUUAGGUGGGGUAACGGCUCACCUAGGCGACGAGCCCUAGCUGGUCUGAGAGGAUGACCAGCCACACUGGAACUGAGACACGGUCCAGACGCCUACGGGAGGAAGCAGUGGGGAAUAUUGCACAAUGGGCGCAAGCCUGAUGCAGCCAUGCCGCGUGUAUGAAGAAGGCCUUCGGGUUGUAAAGUACUUUCAGCGAGGAGGCGUUACUCGCAGAAGAAGCAUCGGCUAACUCCGGGCCAGCAGACGCGGUAAUUC